rnacentral:misc_RNA from 1 species
CGCGUGAGUGGCGGAUGGAUUGUAUGGGUUGGUUGGAUCCUUGCUCGCGCAACGACAACCUCUCGUGCGAUCCUCUUCAAUGUCGCUUCGAAUUCGUUCUACUAUUGGGCGCGGUUGGUUUUCCUUUGUUGUGUACCAACAACGAAGGUAUUCGAUUUUCGCAAAUGUCCCUAUUUUGUCUUGUGCCGCUUGCACGGUAUGCGAUGAACCGUAAAGAAUGCCCUGUGAUCCUUGCAUCUAUCACCCAGGCGUGUGGCGUGCAUGGCUCAUGGGGCAGUGCCUGAAUGCUGGGAUACGGAACCUUAUGUGGGUAAUGGGGUCUUCGACCUACGUUUAUCUGGACUAAAGCAAUGUUGCUCGGUACGAAUGACGGUUGUGCCCGUCUUGACCACCCGUUCACUCGGUCUGGUUCAUGCGGUGCCGACG